rnacentral:rRNA from 1 species
UACGUAGGGCGCAAGCGUUGUCCGGAAUUACUGGGCGUAAAGCGAGUGUAGGCGGUCUGCUAAGUCGGGUGUGAAAGCCCCGGGCUCAACCCGGGAAGUGCACUCGAAACUGGCAGGCUAGAGUAUCGGAGAGGUUGGUGGAAUUCUCGGUGUAGAGGUGAAAUUCGUAGAUAUCGAGAGGAACACCGGUGGCGAAGGCGGCCAACUGGACGAAUACUGACGCUGAGACUCGAAAGCGUGGGGAGCAAACAGG